AUAAUCGAGAUUCUACUGUACCCUUCUGCUACUGUACCCUUCUGUCUACUGUACCGGCCUAUGACACAUCUUCUUUGUGGCUAAUUAUGCUUGUUGGUGCAAACCUUAUUACGUAACAGUAUAAUUUUCUGCUGUCAAGUUGUACUUUUGGACUCUAGCAUUUAGCCUCACUAUCUUUGUUCCCUUAGAAAGUAUAAUUUUAUAGAAGCAUGCCUGUAUAAUUAUACGUAUGGAUAAUUCACCAAGAGAAGCGGCUGUGAUGUGAUGUUGCUGUGAUGUUGCAGUAUAUAAUUCUGGUUUGAUGAUUUUUAUUGAGACUAAUGAGUAAUAAACUAGAGCACUAAAGUGCAAACCCUCGGCUGGUGACAUGAUUAUAAAGAAACCAGAAGACUGAUAUAAUGCAGUGCAUAUAGUGAUGUUGUUAUCAUCAUCAUGCAUGACUUGCACAGCAACUCAGGAGCAAUAAAACUAAGCCAGACUGGAGGCAUGCUGAACAUUUGAGAACAGGUAGUACUACUAUAAAUAUAUGCACUGUGGAUUAGGAUCACAGCAAAGAAGCAUGGAGUCUCAGAGAAGUAUGGCUCCAGGUCCUGCAUGGAUCCCAGUCAGCUAAAGCAAGCUUUCUGCUUUAGUUACCCUGUUCCAAUAUUGUUCCUGGUAUAUACAGCUUUCUACUUUAGUGACCCUGUUCCAUUGUUUCUGGACCUGGUACAGGAUCACUUCAGUUAUAAGUGACGCAUGUGCAAGUUCUGUUCAAGCUACAUUUUGCUCGCUUUUAUUAGACAACGAAGCUUUAACACCGAAAGCUGCCACUAUUAGAAGCACUGACUUGUUGUGUGGAGGCUACCCAUGCUGUAAACGCAGUGCUAGAGCAUCCAGGUAAGCAGACCCAGUCACAAGCUUCUUAGCUUUUGCUCGUUUUUAUUUGACAACGAAGGUUUAACAUGAAAUUCUGCCACUAUUAAAAUUAAUAACUUGUUGUAUGAAGGCUAUCCAUGCUGUAAACGCAGUGCUGUGGCAUCCAGGUGAGUAGAUUCACCUGUCACAAACAAACAAACCAACCAAACGACUACUAUAACCCGUGGCCGCCCACGCGCCUCAGGUUAAUUAAGGUACACCAGGGAGACUGGACUAACAUAAUUGGGCAAGCUAACCACUGUGACACUUGAAGUGUUUGUGGUAAAGAGUGGGUUGUGGGUUGUGGGUAUGGUUUUGAGGGAUAUUGAUAGCUCUUUUUCACACAGGAAAUGCUUUUUGACAGCAGAGAGCACAAACAAGAAAGGGGAUUUUAUGAAGUGUCUCAACUCAUCUUACAAGUCGCUUUACUGACAAGGAGUAUAAGCUGCCCCAGCGAUCAAAAAACAAGGACAACGGAAUAUGGGUUUUCUCUCGUGAUGUUUUCCUGUCGAUGACAGGAGAACAGCUGCCUUGUGAUCUAAACGAAAUGGUGUGGAUUGGCCACAUACAUUCAGGUCCGGGAGUGGCAAACGAAGUGCAGUUCGUAUUUCAUUGCCAUUUAGCACAGAUCCCCUCUGUUUAGUGCUGCACACCGUUAGGGAUUACUUUGCACGCACACAACUCACCAUCUCCUCGACUCUCCUCGACUCUCACCAAACCUUUUGAAGAAGUUCAAAUCCUGUUCGGUGUCCCUUGCUUUUGGUGAAUCUUCUACAGGAAACGUUUGGGUGGGUGUGGUCGUUUGGACAGAAUAUAUUUAGCAAAGUGUCUCUUUGUGUUCCACAUCUUGCACACCAAAAAGGUGACAUCGAUAGGCCCAGAAACCGACUGCUAAUUUCACACCCUCAUACCAGCAGAGGUAGGGAGUUAAUUGGUCAUGUAUAAUUACCGUAUAUCUUCUAAUUUAUCGGACACUUCUUUUGGGCAAUUUUCGUUGUUCUAAUACAACGGACACUCCAGUACUUUAAUAUUACAUUUGUUCUAAAUAUCUCUAAAUAUCCAGACAAUACCUUGAAAAGUUGAGUUACCAUUCAUAGACGGUAAGUAAGACUUGGAGUGCUGCAGUUAGCAACUAUUCAGUCGUACCUUGUUCUAUUAAACUUAGCUAGCUCGCAUGCAGCUGCUUGCUUGUUUCGGACACUUCGCAUGCUCUAUAAAAUCUGUUCCAAUUAUACCCAGACAAUUUCCAAAAUAAUUAUUUUUUGCUGUCCGUUGCUGUCCGAUGAUAUACGGUUAUAGGUAUGUGCCUGAUAGGCCCAAUGGACACCAGAAACCGACUGCUAAUUUCACACACUCAUACCAGCAGAGAGUUCAGAGUUCAGUCGACCUGCUGAGAAAAUGGAAAUUGUGAAAGUGCAAGAAUGGGCUAUUGUGUGUCACUUGGGGAGAAGUUCUUUCUGUCUGGUGUAGAUGAGAUCAUACUACCCGAGUUUAGUCAGGCAGUUGGAGACACUGUGACUUGAGGGACUUGAGAGAAGCAGCUUUAGAGGCAGAGUUGAAGCAGCAUUUCAUCUUGCAACACAACAGUUCAUCCUACAGGACAGUUCAUCUGAAAAUUUGAAUACUGGUUCUGUCACAGACAUUCACAUUCGGACUGGAACUACCUUUCCCCUGCCCAGGUGCAAAGUAACUCUAACCCAGAUUGCUACAUUCCUGCGAGUUGGGAUUAAGUACAACAAGACUCCCACCUCAGUGCCAGGUGAUGGAUGAGUCACUAGCUGCUCUGCUCAAGGAAUAGUACCGACCAAGUUCUCCAAACUAAAGCCAACUAAGUGCACUAUCGUUGUGUAUCUGGUACUCCCUCCAAUGAAGAAGAAGGACCAGGGGAAGAAGUCCCCCGGGAACAAGUCAGACGACCCUCCCACUGAUCAAGGAAGAACCCCCCCCCCGUUGAUCACGGGAAGAAGUCCCAGGUCAGACGAUCCUCCCACGAAGAAGUCGGCCCCGCUGAUCAGGGCCCCAACGGAUCACGAGAAGAGACGCCCUCACCAGCCACCCACCAAUCAACGGAAGACGAUCAACGGAAGACGACCACCGAUCACGACGAGAUGAAGUCAGACGACCCAGGGAAGGGAAGGGAUAACUAAAGCCUUUUACUUUUCUAUGCGGGACAGAAAAUUGAAAGGCUUGAGGAUAAUCUUUGCCAAAGAAAACAAGAAGAAUCUAAUAUAGAAGAAUCUAAUAUUGCAACAAUCAACAAUCAAUCGUGCAUGAUCUAUAUACAUGCACUAUAUACAUGCACCUGACUUCUGUUUAUGAUUAUGUAUAUUGCUCUUU